rnacentral:rRNA from 1 species
CCCAUCAGGAAAGACAUCACUCACAGAAGAAGCACCGGCUAAUUCCGGGCCAGCAGCCGCGGUAAUACGGAGGGUGCGAGCGUUAAUCGGAAUUACUGGGCGUAAAGCGCGCGUAGGUGGCUUGAUAAGCCGGUUGUGAAAGCCCCGGGCUCAACCUGGGAACGGCAUCCGGAACUGUCAAGCUAGAGUGCAGGAGAGGAAGGUAGAAUUCCCGGUGUAGCGGUGAAAUGCGUAGAGAUCGGGAGGAAUACCAGUGGCGAAGGCGGCCUUCUGGACUGACACUGACACUGAGGUGCGAAAGCGUGGGUAGCAAACAGGAUUAGAUACCCUGGUAGUCCACGCCGUAAACGAUGUCGACCAGCCGUUGGGUGCCUAGCGCACUUUGUGGCGAAGUUAACGCGAUAAGUCGACCGCCUGGGGAGUACGGCCGCAAGGUUAAAACUCAAAUGAAUUGACGGGGGCCCGCACAAGCGGUGGAGCAUGUGGUUUAAUUCGAUGCAACGCGAAGAACCUUACCUAUGAGAGACAUCUUGCGAAUUAGUGAGAGAUCCCUUGGUGCAUUCGGGAACGCAGAGACAGGUGAUGCAUGGCUGUCGUCAGCUCGUGUUGUGAAAUGUUGGGUUAAGUCCCCUAACGAGCGCAACCCUUGUCCUUAUUUGCCAGCGCGUAAAGGCGGGAACUCUAAGGAGACUGCCGGUGACAAACCGGAGGAAGGUGGGGACGCGUCAAGUCAUCAUGGCCCUUACGAGUAGGGCUACACACGUGCUACAAUGGUCGGUACAAAGGGUUGCCAACUCGCGAGAGUGAGCCAAUCCCGAAAAGCCGAUCUCAGUCCGGAUCGGAGUCUGCAACUUGCCUCCGAGAAGUCGGAAUCGCUAGUAAUCGUGGAUCAGAAUGCCACGGAGAAUACGUUCCCGGGCCUUGUACACACCGCCCGUCACACCAUGGGAGUGGCCUGCACCAGAAGUGCUUAGCCUAACGCAAGAGGGCGAUCACCCCGGUGUGGUUCAUGACUCAGGAAGU